rnacentral:rRNA from 1 species
GAUGAACGCUGGCGGCGUGCCUAAUACAUGCAAGUCGAGCGAACGGACGCGAAGCUUGCUUCUCUGAUGUUAGCGGCGGACGUGUGAGUAACACGUGUAUCACCUACCUAUCAGACUGGGAUAUCUUCGGGACUCCGGAUCUAAUCCCGUAUAAUCUUUUGCACCGCAUUGUUCAAUAGUGAAAGACGGUCUUUGUGUCUCUUCUAGCUGGAUCCGCGCUUCAUUAGCUGGUUGUUAAGGUAACGGCUUUCCAAGGCAACGAGGCCUGACAGAACUGAGAGGGGGAUCGGCCACGCUAGAACUGAGACACGGUCCAUGCGCCUACGAGAGGCAGCAGAAGCGAAUCGGCCGCAAUGGGCGAAAGUCUGACGGAGCAACGGGGCGCGAGAGAUGAAAGUCCUGGGUUCGUAAAACUCUGUUAUGAGGGAAGAACAUAUGUGGAAGUAACCGUGCACAGAGUGACGGUAACUAAUCAGAAAGCCACGGCUAACUACGUG